UCUUAUUAUUUUGCCUCAGUUAGAGCUGGGCCUGGUUAGUACUUGAAUGGGAGACCACCUUGGAAGACCAGGGGCCAUUAGCC
rnacentral:rRNA from 12 species